GCUACCAGGGGGAAGUAUCUUUUCUGGAGAUCCACUGUGCUGGAGUUUUGUAAGUGAGCCCAGAAUAUGGUGGGAAGUUAAGGAAAAAGUUUACCAACAUAAAAUGGAGAACAGAGAACUUACUCAAAGAAUUCAAUUAAUCAGUCUGGUUUUCUCAGCCUCAGAGCUUGGAAUCUACUUAUAAUAUUGAUGAAGUUGCUGAGCUAUAAACAACUGCAGCUAAUAUUACAAGUCCACGAGAAAAUAUGGUGUUCUUCAUAUAAUCCCACACUUUUUCCUACUCUCUCUUAUGACAUGAUAUUUACCUCCUUCUUAUAUACUGCCUAAACAAAGACAAUGCCUUCCUAAACAUUUCCAAGAUCUCCCCAUUGCUCUACCAGGAUGUUAGUGUAGUUACUAAUUUUAACUUAAUAAUAGUAUUGUAAACUUAGCUUUACUAAUUUCUCACAAUAUACACAGCUUCUUCUUUUAGUUAAAAAGGUGAAAUGCUGAAUGGCUUUGAGAGAAGUCCAUAUUCUCUACCUUGAGCUGCAUUUUCUGCCUUUCUACAAAUAUUGCACACAAGCAGAUUCUCUUCAGGAGUUUGAAAUACAGAUAUUUAAGCCAUCCCCAAGUUACACAGAGAAUGAAGGACAAUUUUGACGUCGUAUCUUUGAAACUGAUUUCCAUUUUUUCCACUAUGUUAUUAUUUCUGGGUUUUUUAGGAAUUAUAUUUUUUUUCCUUUUUUUUUUGCCAGAUACUACAAGAAAAAAUGUAUAGAACAAUUUUGCAUGCUUUAUUUAGUUGUUCUAAGCAUAUAUUCAAAUAUGGUAAUAUAUCAAAAAAAGAAAGCUGAGGCCUCAAAACUUGCAUUAAAAGGUAUUACAGUUAAGCAUAAAGAUUCAUUACAAGUUUUCUGUUGUACUUCAUUUGUAUUCAUGUUUUUUAUGAAACAUAACAGCUUUUGUUUUCACAAGAGGAAGCGUAUCAUGAAAUUGUUUUUCAGAAGAUAUCGUGAAAAAAUGACAGAAAGAAAAAUGUAAGCCCUUAAAGACAUGAUUCUUCUCAACAACAUCUCUAAGAAUCACUGGAAUACUAACCUACAGCUCAUUCUGCCAACUACUAGAUUAGUUAAGAAUUUUUUGUCACUUGCACACUGUAGCAGAAUUUUAAUUAAGAUAAGUUAUAAAUGAGAACUGCAUUAUUGCAGACUAAAUAUUUUAAGAGGAAAAAGAUGUGUGUUUGCAAGCAAGUAGAAAAUCCUAGAAAAUAUUUAAAGUAUUAAAUAAAAAAAUGUUAGGUUUUAUAAUAUAAGUGGUUUGAAUAGUUUUAGUCAGUCAGUAUACCUUUGACUAUUAUAUUCAUAUAGUUAUAUAGUUCUGUUAGUUAAUAAAAUAUCUCAAUAUGAAGUUACCUUAUCUCAAUUAUCAUCAAAACGUUCUGCUUACAUCAGCUUGCUUAUAAAUAGAACCAAAACAUUUCUGCUGCCACGAACUAUGAGAGCAUUUUACUAGAAAUGGAAUAAUUUUUCUGUUGUUUGAGGAUUCGCAUGAAAAAUUUUGUUUAAUUUUAUUUACUUAACGCCACUAAUUUUUUUAUGUUAUCUAUAGACAUGUCAAUCUCCUGUCAGUUUUGAAUUAUAGCAAUUGCUACUGGGAGAAUAUUCUUGGCAAAUAAAUCUAAAUCGUUAUAUUGCUCAUAAAGUUAUUGUUCUAAGUAUUCUAUAUGAUCAUUUGGCAAUUCUGAUUUCAUAGUGAAAUUCUGCUAUGGAAUUUAUGUACUGAAUUUAGACUGACAUACAGUAACAACUUUUUAUUAAAAUACAAGUGAAGUCAAGUUAUAACUACACUUUCUUGCCAUGGAAGAUGUGGAACUUGACCGUUUUCUCAUUUAGAAGUGUUUUGAUGGUUCACAUUAAUGAAAUUCAAGUUCAAAGAUAAAAGUUGGAAUAAUAUUAUAAAAUUAAUAUAUUCUGAGAUUCACUCUGUUGGUUUCCAGCCUUCAUAUUUUAAAAGAUUUCCCUGAAAUUUUAUAAAAACAGAUUUAGGGUAAUUAGCGGUUCAGGAAUAUUUCAAAGAAAAAUGUAUUAGUUCAGAGCUUUCCCUUUGUCUCAGGAAUCUUUGCUAAUAUACACUUUUCAUCCUGUGCUAUUACCAGCUAUGCCAAUUAAGAAAAACUUGUGAAGUAAAAAAAAAAACUACACUGUAAUAAUAAGUUAAAACUGUUUUAGCAAGUACUUUGGAUAAUUAAUCCAAAGAACAUUUUCCUUUCUCUAGAUAAGAUUAUUCAAGUUGCCUUUUUUUUUUUUAAUUGCAUUAAAAGUAGUGAGAUAAAUUAUAUAUUAAUCUAAAUUGAUUUAUUUUCAAGAAAGAAAAAUCAAAAACAGUAGGACUUAAGCAAUAGGAAAAGAUCCCAUUGUUUUUCAAGGAGUUUCAAAUCUGCUUCCGUAGCAUGCUGGACUAGAUGAUCUGCAGAGGUUCUCUCCAACCUCUAAUAUUCUGUUUCUGUGAUCUGUUUAAUAGGUUUUUCUGAAGACAAAAGAAUUUAUAUUUCUGUCACACCCUACCUUCACAAAAGUAGUGUAAUCUUUUUAAUAUAACAGAUCUACUUUUAAAUACAAAUAAAACUUUUAAAAAAUGCUGCAAUAAGACUCCAUUAUCAGUCUCUUUGAUGAACUGACUGUAUUAAAAUGUGUUGCAAAGACGUAGUCUAUGCAUAUCUCUUCAACCUGUAAUAAUAACUGAUCGUGUGACAUGAUCCAGAGGUUGAAAAUUCAAUUUCACUUGCUCUUCCUGUAUAAUAUCUAAACAUAUGACUUCUCCCCCCACCCUUUUUGGGGGGGGAGAGAGGGAGUAGAAUUUUAAUCAUUAUUAUUAUUAACAUUAAUUAUGGUGACAAGUAUAUCAAAUCACUGAGAAAUUUAAAUCCACAGAGUAAAAGAAAUUCAAAGAGAAUGAAAACAAGAUCCAGUCAAAAAGCAAUUGAUAGGUUAGAAUACUUGCAGCAAAAGCCAGUAUCAGGAUAUUCAUAGAGCCUGUGUCUGUUGCCUGAUUGCAUCCAAGAGCUGGGGAACUUGAGUGGACUUGAGUUGUUAGAAUGGCAUGGAAAUAAUGGCAGUGUCUGUCAAGUCCUUUAAUAAAGGGGCUACAGUUUUAAUAGAGAAAAAAAAUAGAGGAGGCACCCUAAUCCUGAGGUUUAUUUAGUGCCCUUUUUAUACUUUUCAGAACUGUACCGUAAGAAGAGAUGAUUACUUUUCUAAUAGGCUGAGGUGCAUACAAACAUUUCCUGCAACCCAAUUUCCUCAAUCAUCCAUUAGUCUGAAUGAAGUGUAACAGUUCAAUAGCCUCUAGGACUUGGCACAAUAACAAAGACUGUAGUCAUUCAUAUGUGCAUUAACUCAAGAAAAUGUGUAUCAUGAGGAUGAUUAAUACAUCAUUCAUGGUACCAAUGAAAGGUCAGUCAUAGAUCACAGUGAAUCCUUGUGCCAGCAGUAAAAUGAAUAAUAUUUACAUUUUAAAAAGAGAAUGUUUAAUAAACACAUAAAAUUUGCUGGUAGCAGUGCCCUGCUAUAUGGUUAGUCCAUAAGGACAAUAAUGCAUUGUCCAGUAUAGAUUGUUGAGGGUAGAAUAAUAAUAAAUAAAUAAAUAAAUAAAUAACUUUUUUAGCUAUCUGUCCUUACAACUAAAGUGCUUUGAUAAAAGCAAAGGUACAUUAGCAGGAAAUAUAAAAAAACAUAGUAUCAGCUUGGGAUUUUUUUAGUUUAAUUAAAUUUUUUGAAUCCCCCAGCUAUUCCAGAAAUAUCAGAAUUUGAUCUUCCCUGUGAGAAACCAGCUCCUUCAUAACGACAUACAUGAAGUAAAUAUUCUGCUUCAUUAA